rnacentral:sRNA from 1 species
AAUAAAAUAUUGUAUUUUCUGUCACAUAGUCUUUAUCCGUGAAAUAAUCACUCCUUUUUUUUCUUUGAUGAUGAUGAUGCAGCUACAUUUGAUAGAGUAAAAAAAUAUUCAAUUGGUGGUGAAGGCAAAAACGGUAGGAAGACUAAUUUUUCUUGCGGUAGUAUUUUACAAAACUUCACUGCAAUAGCAGUCAAAUGAAUAUGCUCACUGCGGAUCUUAUUGCGACGUAUGAACAAAAAAGGAAACCUGCGGUGCUCCUCCUUCAAAAAACUAGAAAAAAACAUCUAGUAUGUGGUAGCAAUUAAAAAAAUUAACAGAUAAUUCCAAUGCAGUUGCUCAUUGCGGAACUAUUUUAAGAAAGAGAAAAUACCGCAAAUUUGAUGGAUCAUCUUAAAUGGAUCGAUCCAAAUCGGCAGAGAUGAUGAAAUUAACUCAACAUUUUUCGAUGUUGGAUGUAACGCACUGUGGAAUAUGAACUAGAUUCCCAACAAAAACAAACAUUGAACAAGUAUGUAAUGCCUAUUAUUGCAAAGAAUGUACAACCUUUCAUCACAGUCUUCGACGAAGGAUUUCUUGAUGAGUUCCAAUAUAUACAACGCAAAAUACAACUGUCGAGCCGCUCGUUUUUUCGAGACGUAAUGCUUCUGAGAAUGUACGAACAUCUUGUCUGUGAGCUCAGGCAGACUUCCCGGCAAAUGAAGCAUACAUAUAUAACAGUUACAAUUCCCGGUCAUUUUUGCAGUAACGCCCAGAAGUAACUCGAUAGCAAACGUAGCUGAAACUCUUUCGAAAAUAUUAAUUAGUAUUGUUAUCUAUAACGAUGCGACUAUGAAAAAUGCGUGU